rnacentral:rRNA from 1 species
UACGUAGGGGGCUAGCGUUAUCCGGAUUUACUGGGCGUAAAGGGUGCGUAGGCGGUCUUUCAAGUCAGGAGUUAAAUUCUACGGCUCAACCGUAGCCAGCUCUUGAAACUGGAAGACUUGAGUGCAGGAGAGGAGAGUAGAAUUCCUAGUGUAGCGGUGAAAUGCGUAGAUAUUAGGAGGAAUACCAGUAGCGAAGGCGGCUGCUCUGGACUGUAACGUGACGCUGAGGCACGGAAAGCGUGGGGAGCGAACAGGG